GAUGAACGCUGGCGGCGUGCCUAAUACAUGCAAGUCGAGCGAACAGACGAGGAGCUUGCUCCUCUGACGUUAGCGGCGGACGGGUGAGUAACACGUGGAUAACCUACCUAUAAGACUGGGAUAACUUCGGGAAACAGGAGCUAAUACCGGAUAAUAUAUUGAACCGCAUGGUUCAAUAGUGAAAGACGGUUUUGCUGUCACUUAUAGAUGGAUCCGCGCCGCAUUAGCUAGUUGGUAAGGUAACGGCUUACCAAGGCAACGAUGCGUAGCCGACCUGAGAGGGUGAUCGGCCACACGAGAACUGAGCCACGGUCCAGACUCCUACGGGAGGCAGCAGUAGGGAAUCUUCCGCAAUGGGCGAAAGCCUUACGGAGCAACGCCGCGUGAGUGAUGAAGGUCUUCGGAUCGUAAAACUCUGUUAUUAGGGAAGAACAAAUGUGUAAGUAACUAUGCACGUCUUGACGGUACCUAAUCAGAAAGCCACGGCUAACUACGUG
rnacentral:rRNA from 1 species